UAAAUUUUAGUUUAAACUAAAAAUUUUUUUUUUACAAAAAAAAGAUAAUUUAAUAAUUAAAUUUAA
rnacentral:tRNA from 1 species